ACAUGGAGUCCAUCUUUCAUGAGAAGCAAGAAGGUUCACUCUGUGCUCAGCAUUGCCUGAAUAAUCUCUUGCAAGGAGAAUAUUUUAGUCCAGUGGAAUUAUCAUCAAUUGCACAUCAGCUCGAUGAAGAGGAAAGGGUAAGAAUGGCAGAAGGAGGAGUCACCAGUGAAGCCUAUCACACAUUUUCACAGCAGCCUUCUGGAAAUAUGGACGACAGUGGUUUCUUUUCUAUUCAGGUUAUAAGCAAUGCUUUGAAAGUCUGGGGCUUAGAAUUAAUAUUGUUCAACAAUCCAGAGUAUCAGAAGCUCAAAAUCGAUCCCAUAAAUGAAACAUCAUUUAUAUGUAAUUAUAAAGAACACUGGUUUACCAUCAGAAAAUUAGGAAAACAAUGGUUUAACCUAAAUUCUGACUUGCAAAGCCCAGAAUUAAUAUCAGAUAACUACCUCGCGCUUUACUUGAUUCAAUUACAACAAGAAGGUUAUUCCAUAUUUGUUGUUAAGGGUGAUCUACCAGAUUGUGAAGCUGACCAACUCCUGCAGAUGAUCAGAGUCAAACAGAAACCUAGAUCAAGAUUUAUUGGAAAAGAAUCAGAAAAACAAAAGGAGAAAAGAGCCCAUAAAGCAGACCUGGAACGAAUCGUAGAAACAAGCGAUGAGUCUGGAAUAUUAGAUGAAGAGAAGGAUUUGCAGAGGGUUCUGGAACUAAGUCUCCAAGAAAUGAACAUAGAAGAUGAAGAAGCAGAUCUCUGCAGAGCUAUUCAGCUAAGUAUGCAAGAUUGUGGCAGUAGCACAUCUCAAGAUAUUCCACAGACAUCUGAUACGAAUCUUACUUCAAAAGGGCUGUGGAGGAGAAAAGAAGCCUACUCUAA